rnacentral:rRNA from 1 species
AUUGAACGCUGGCGGCAUGCCUUACACAUGCAAGUCGAACGGCAGCGCGGGCUUCGGCCUGGCGGCGAGUGGCGAACGGGUGAGUAAUGCAUCGGAACGUGCCCAGUAGUGGGGGAUAGCCCGGCGAAAGCCGGAUUAAUACCGCAUACGACCUGAGGGUGAAAGCGGGGGACCGAAAGGCCUCGCGCUAUUGGAGCGGCCGAUGUCGGAUUAGCUAGUUGGUGGGGUAAAGGCUUACCAAGGCGACGAUCCGUAGCUGGUCUGAGAGGACGAUCAGCCACACUGGGACUGAGACACGGCCCAGACUCCUACGGGAGGCAGCAGUGGGGAAUUUUGGACAAUGGGGGCAACCCUGAUCCAGCCAUGCCGCGUGCGGGAAGAAGGCCUUCGGGUUGUAAACCGCUUUUGUUCGGGAAGAAAUCCUCUGGGCUAAUACCCCGGGGGGAUGACGGUACCGGAAGAAUAAGCACCGGCUAACUACGUG